GGGAUCCGAUUUUAGCAUGGAAUAAUAAAAUAGGACGUGUGGUUCUAUUUUGUUGGUUUCUAGGACCGCCGUAAUGAUUAAUAGGGACAGUCGGGGGCAUCAGUAUUCAAUUGUCAGAGGUGAAAUUCUUGGAUUUAUUGAAGACUAACUACUGCGAAAGCAUUUGCCAAGGAUGUUUUCAUUAAUCAGGAACGAAAGUUAGGGGAUCGAAGACGAUCAGAUACCGUCGUAGUCUUAACCAUAAACUAUGCCGACUAGGGAUCGGACGAUGUUACUUUACUGACUCGUUCGGCACCUUAUGAGAAAUCAAAGUUUUUGGGUUCCGGGGGGAGUAUGGUCGCAAGGCUGAAACUUAAAGGAAUUGACGGAAGGGCACCACCAGGAGUGGAGCGUGCGGCUUAAUUUGACUCAACACGGGGCAACUCCCCCAGGUCCAGAAAUCUACGAUGCAUUCGCGAAGGACAGUUUG
rnacentral:rRNA from 1 species